GACGAACGCUGGCGGCGUGCUUAACACAUGCAAGUCGAACGAUGAAGCUGGAGCUUGCUCCGGUGGAUUAGUGGCGAACGGGUGAGUAACACGUGAGCAAUCUGCCCUUGACUCUGGGAUAACUGCGGGAAACUGUAGCUAAUACCGGAUACGAGACCUGAAGGCAUCUUCGGGUCUGGAAAGAAUUUCGGUCAAGGAUGAGCUCGCGGCCUAUCAGCUUGUUGGUGAGGUAAUGGCUCACCAAGGCGACGACGGGUAGCCGGCCUGAGAGGGUGACCGGCCACACUGGGACUGAGACACGGCCCAGACUCCUACGGGAGGCAGCAGUGGGGAAUAUUGCACAAUGGGCGAAAGCCUGAUGCAGUAACGCCGCGUGAGGGAUGAAGGCCUUCGGGUUGUAAACCUCUUUUAGCAGGGAAGAAGCGAAAGUGACGGUACCUGCAGAAGAAGGACCGGCCAACUACGUGCCAGCCGCCGCCGUAA
rnacentral:rRNA from 1 species